CUGGGAUUUGAUCUUUCUCCUCCUGUUUUUAGGGAGGGGUCAUCUUUUUGAGAAAUGCUAAUAUUUAAUUGGGAUAAUGUAAAUGUAAUUCAAACCCCUAGUUUUAGUUUGACUUGUUACUCAAGUUUAUCAGCUUUGCUUUCAUAUUGACUUUAAUGACAAAAUGUGAUAGUGAUCAAGUAUUUCUUCAGCUCAGAAACAUGUAUACACAUAGAGAAAUGUGUUGUGUACAUGUAGAGCUUUUGCUUGUGCUGGCAGUACCAAGCCUGUUUGUCCUGUUAGAAAUUGGGUGCCUAUUCCUUAGAAGUACAGCAACAAGAUAUUGUCUCGUAAAUGUUUAAUGUAAUUUCUCGCUGGUUUGAAAAUGUACUUUAUGUAAAGACAACAAUAUAACAAUAAUUGCGCUGUCUUCCAUAGAAACGACUGGCCCCGAAUGCUGGAAAUUAUAUCACUUUGCUGACUGAGUCGCUGAACCCCUUUGUGCCCUAAUGGCCUCUUUUAAGCAAUCAUCAAACAUGGCAGACCGAAUGCAAUGCUGUAAUAUCUGAAAUAAUAUGUUGCCAUGUUGGGGCAAGAAUUUGCCUCACGUUUACCUCAUAUCACAGUAAUCCAGGGACAAAAGGAGUGAAGGUUUGACGUAUGUAGCAGAAAUGCUGUUGUGUGUGUAAAAACGUCAUGAUUCUGUGCGGCUGUUUUGAAACAUUUGUGUACAUGACAUUUGUACAUGUGACCCAUUAAGAUGCUGUUUCUGUAAAUGUCUCUUGCCAACCAGUGUUCAGUCUCUUUAGUUCAACCUCCUCUCGCCCUCACAUCUUAUUUUUGCCAUAUUGUUUCGGUAUUCUUGUUUACAAAAAAUGUACGAAACACUACACAUUACUGAAUUGUUACCCCUGUAUAAAAUUUAUUUUGCUACCCUUUUUUUUUUUUUUUUCUUAAAAUAACAGCCGGAUGUUUGCAGCUGAUAUCUUUCACUUUUAUGUUCUUUCAAGUUCAUGUGACACAUUUCGCGAGGCUAAUUGUCCAAUGAAUUAAGAACUGACAAUAGGAGAAAAAUAAUAAAAACUGUUACCAAGA
ensembl:lncRNA